ACAGCAACCUUACCAGCCCCUCCAGCUUAGAGGUGGCAGUGGCUCUCUGCGGCUGCGAUUUCUUUCUCGGAGCGUCCUCCCCAUCCCGUUCGGCCUCUGCCUCCACCGUCGUCUCUGUAACCCGUUCCCUGUGGGAGAGUCUCUGUUGCGGUGUUCAGGGGUUUCGGUUUUCUGGCUGAACAGUGAUUAACGCGAGGGAAGGCGCUGACGGCAAGGUGGCAGAACAUUCCAACACAGACCACAACACCUAUGGACCUGGAAAACAUUGUGCUCAGUGAAAGAAGCCAGACACAGAAGGACAAUGUUGUAUGAGGCUGGACUGCAGUGGUGCAAUCCUAGCUCACUGCAGCUUCGACCUCCCGUGCUCAAGUGAUUUUCCCACCUCAGCCUCCCGAGUAGCUGGGACUACAGGUGCGUGCCACCACGCCUGGCUGAUUUUUCUUGUAUUUUUUUGUAGAGAUGGGGGUAUCGCUAUGUUGCCCAGGCUGGUCUUGAACACUUGGGCUCAAGUAAUUCUCCCGCCUUGGCCUCCCAAAGUGCUGGGAUUACAGGUGUGAGCCACUGUGCCUAGUGUGAAUGCAUUUAAUGCCACUGAAUUGUACACUUAAUAAUGGUGAAAAAUAUAAAUAUUCUGUUAAAUAUUUUACCACAAUAAAAAAAUGUGUGACAGUUGUCAGAAUCAAAA
rnacentral:lncRNA from 1 species